rnacentral:tRNA from 1 species
CGGGGCGUAGCUCAGCCUGGAAUAGAGCGCUGCGUUCGGGACGCAGAGGUCGCAGGUUCAAAUCCUGUCGCCCCGA